UGAGUACGAGAUGCUACGGCAUUGAAGCAGUCUAUGUCAUACUUCCAAGAAAAGCUUGCACUGUCAUAAAUAAACAAUGCCUGUACCAUAACCGACACAGGUGGGUAGGUAGAGUAUACUAAGGGGCGCGAGAUAACUCUCUCUAAGGAACUCGGCAAAAUGACUCCGUAACUUCGGGAGAAGGAGUGCCUUAUUCGUAAGGUUGCAAUAACAAGAUCCAAGCAACUGUUUAUCAAAAACACAGGUCUCGGCUAAGUCGCAAGACGAUGUAUGGGGGCUGACGCCUGCCCAGUGCCAGAAGGUUAAAGAAGUCGGUUAGCAUUUGCGAAGCUGGUAACUGAAGCCCUGGUGAACGGCGGCCGUAACAAUAACGGUCCUAAGGUAGCGAAAUUCCUUGUCGGGUAAGUUCCGACCCGCACGAAAGGCGUAAUGAUUUGGAUACUGUCUCGGAGAGGGACUCGGUGAAAUAGACUUGUCUGUGAAGAUGCGGACUACCUGCACCUGGACAGAAAGACCCUAUGAAGCUUUACUGUAACUUGAGAUUGAAAUUGGACUUUAUAUGCGCAGUAUAGGUGGGAGGCUAUGAAAAUCUUUUUGCGGAAAGAUUGGAGCCAUCAGUGAGAUACCACUCUUAUAAUGUUAGAUUUCUAACUUUGUAUCAUUAUCUGGUCAAAGAACAGUCUCAGGCGGGCAGUUUGACUGGGGCGGUCGCCUCCCAAACGGUAACGGAGGCGCACAAAGGUUUCCUCUGAACGGGUAGAAAUCGUAUCUAGAGUGUAAAGGCAUAAGGAAGCUUGACUGUGAGACCUACAAGUCGAGCAGGGACGAAAGUCGGUCUUAGUAUCUGACGGUGCUGAGUGGAAAGGCCGUCACUCAUCGGAUAAAAGUUACUCUAGGAUAACAGGCUGAUCUCCCCCAAGAGUUCACAUCGACGGGGAGGUUUGGCACCUCGAUGUCGGCUCAUCGCAUCCUGGGGCGGUAGUACGUCCCAAGGGUUGGGCUGUUCGCCCAUGAAAGCGGUACGCGAGCUGGGUUCAGAACGUCGUGAGACAGUUCGGUCCAUAUCCGGUGUAGGCGUUAGAAUAUUGAGAGGAGCCUUCUUUAGUACGAGAGGACCGAGAAGGACAUACCUCUGGUGUACCAGUUAUCGUGCCAACGGUAAACGCUGGGUAGCUAUGUGUGGAGUGGAUAACCGCUGAAAGCAUCUAAGUGGGAAGCCCACCUCAAGAUAAGUAUUCUC
rnacentral:rRNA from 1 species